rnacentral:rRNA from 1 species
UACCAGCACCCCGAGUGGUCGGGACGUUUAUUGGGCCUAAAGCAUCCGUAGCCGGUUCUACAAGUCUUCCGUUAAAUCCACCUGCUCAACAGAUGGGCUGCGGAAGAUACUAUAGGGCUAGGAGGCGGGAGAGGCAAGCGGUACUCAGUGGGUAGGGGUAAAAUCCGUUGAUCCAUUGAAGACCACCAGUGGCGAAGGCGGCUUGCCAGAACGCGCUCGACGGUGAGGGAUGAAAGCUGGGGGAGCAAACCGG